GACGAACGCUGGCGGCAUGCCUAACACAUGCAAGUCGUACGAUGACUCGGCUCUUCGGAGCUGGCGAUUAGUUGCGAACGGGUGAGCAACCCGUGGGUGACCUGCCCCUCACCCUGGGAUAUGCUCGUAAAACAGGGUCUAAUACUGGAUACGACCAGUCGCCGCUUGGUCUUCUGGUGGAAAGCUCUUCGGGUUGGUGUGGGAAGGGCCCGCGGCCUAACAGCCUGUUGGUGGGGUGAUGGCCUACGAAGGCGACGACGGGUAGCCGGCCUGAGAGGGUGUCCGGGGACGGUGGGACUGAGACACGGCCCAGACACCUACGGGAGGCAGCAGUGGGUAAUGUUGCACAAUGGGCGAAAGCCUGAUGCAGCGACGCAGCGUGAGGGAUGACGGGCUUCGGGUUGUAAACCUCUUUCGGCAGGGAACAAGCCUGGGGGGUUUCUUCUGGAUGAGGGCACCUGCAGAAGAAGCACCGGCUAACUACGUG
rnacentral:rRNA from 1 species